CUACUAGGCAGUUAGCUCUUAUAGAAAGUUACAGAAUAAUAUCAUGAGGGAUGUUAUUCUUGUGUUUAGCAAAUACACUAAAAAACACUUUACUUUUUAUUAUUGGUUUUGGGGUGCAUGAAAGAAGAUACUAUAUCACAGUUCCUCUGAAAGUUCAAUUUCAGUUUUAAUAGCAACAUGUUAACAUAUUAUGGACUUCCAACUCAGUUUAUUGACUAAAGAAAUCACUGAGAAUACACAGUAGAUAUCUUAUCAACCCUGACAAGUACAAGUAUAGUAAAGCAACGUACAAGAAUAGUAAAGCAAAUAGUUAGUAGACAGUAUGAUCAUCUAAUUUAUAUGAAGCAUUAAGACAAUAGUCAUCAUUGUUUAUGUAUUCUGUUUCAGCACAGAAAGACCCCACAACAUUUUAAUUACAUUAAAAACUGCUCUGUAUUCUUCAAGUAUCCUUUAAUCAGUUGAAUAAAACCUUAAUUCUUCGGUUUCAACAGGUCUGCCAUUCUUCAUGACUACACGUUGAUAUGUUUGAAUGCCUCGCUCCAAAUCGUUGUGAUGUCGAGUCAUUGCCCCGUUUCUUGGCAUGGCCAUGGAGCUCUGGAUGCUGCUGUUACUGUGUGAUGCAACCAAUGCAUUGCUCAUCUAAGAGAAAAUUAAGGAAAUGUAAAAAUGGUUUUAUGCUCAAACUCAUCCAGGGUUAUUUUAGUUAACUUUAACUGAUAUAUAAACAAACUUAUUUUAUUUCAGUUACUUGCAAAGGCAACAUUUCUCAUUUUCAUUAAGUUUAUCUUGAUUUACUAAAAUAACUACAACUAAAUAAAAGUUAAUGAAAACUACAUACAUACUAUUUAAAAAUGAUUAUUUUGGAAUUCUUACCAGAGAAAAAGGUGUGGGCUCUUCUUCAUAGUUACACUUACAUUUAAACCUUAAGUUUAAAAAAUGAAUCGUGUAAGAAGUUAUGCAUUGAUGGAGCUUGGAGUAUGUAUAAAUUCACAGGUGAAAAACAUAUUUCUAUGCACAUUAAGUUCAUAACUCAUCUGAAAUAAAUACAUACGGUAAUGGUCCAUAGUAGUUUUUCAUCAACCCACAUUUAUUACAGGAUGUUGUUGACUAGUAGUUUGGUAAGAAAAGACCACAUCAACAAUCAAUCAAAAUGCCUUUUAUCACAAAAAUGAUAUUUACAACUGCAGACUGAAUGGUCUCAUUAAUUAAAUAAAAGAAAACUAGAUAUUUAUAUAAUAAGACAUUUAUUUUAAGCAACAUAAAGGACAGAAAACUGUAUUUCAUCAUGUAUUUUAAUGUAUUUCAUUAUUUCCUUACCAUUUUUGUUGCUAAUGCUCCUCUUCAAUGUUGUAAAGGCACUUCGUGACACAUCUGAACUGACUAGUUUCCCACAGAGAUCUCUGUAAGUCUCAAAUGAUAACCGCUCCGCCCAUCUGACAGCAGGAAUGUUCCAGUGGAAGCCAAGCAAAAAACAGAAAUAAAGGACAAGAAUGAGAAACUUGUGCCAUGAACUUGACAAGGCCACACAUUCCCCACAACAGUGUUUUACGAACAUAUUUUAUUUCAGAUAGAUAAAAUAGGGAUUAAAAUAGGAUUCUUUGUUCUUAUAACAGGUGUUAUAUAUUACACAGUUCAGAAUUUUCCAAAAUCCCACCCAAAAAUAAUGUUUAGCUAAUUCCCG
ensembl:lncRNA